rnacentral:ncRNA from 1 species
AGUACGGCGAAGCUACCAUCUGCUGGAUUACGGCUGAACGCCUCUAAGCCGGAAUCCAUGCUGGAUAAGCAGUGUUGUACACCGUGCUCAAUGCUACAAGAAAAAGGCUAGGUCAGGCUUCGGCCUGACCAAAAUUCAAGCUGCUAUACCUCUGGCUGCAUUGACUUGUGGUCAGAGUGUAUGGUGAUCAUAGCAAUUGCAAGUAUUGGGCUCGAUAAAUCCUUUGAAGACGACUUAAUUGCAUCCGGGUAUUGUAAGUGUUGAGAGUAGGCUUAGUCUUACGAUCCACUGAGAUUCAUCCCGUGUUGCGCCGAUUUGU